CUGCCGGCAUAUAGUUGAAUCCCCUGGAGUCGUCCUGCCACACGAUGAGUGCGGCAGUUGUGGUAUAAUUAAGGCAACAGGUUACUUUGGUCAGACAACCAAAAGGGACCCAUGUCCUGAUUGUAUUGCCAAUGGUGUUUAUGUGAAGGUCAAUGGGAAGUGGCAGAAGGCUUGAACUUGAUGACACCGUAUCACCAGAAUCGGUACUUUUUUGACGCAUUGGGUUUCGACACAAAUGGGAUUUCUUAUAUUUGCUAUGAAUUUUAUGUGACAGCUGAAAGUUGAAUAAGCUAUCUUGUCUUUUUGACCUUAUUGUAAAACGUGUCCGCACUUCGCCCAGCUUAGUCCUCCUCAACAUGCCCACCUAGUGUAAUAGUGAACCCAGCGAUUUUGUGGAAGAUAACUUAGUUGUUCCGGAUAUUGCAGAUCGGUCGGUAGUCUGAUAGCUGGUAGGGAUUGCAGGCACAGGUGACAUGAGAUUGUUAUACACU
rnacentral:sRNA from 1 species